UACGUAGGGGGCUAGCGUUGUCCGGAAUCAUUGGGCGUAAAGAGCGUGUAGGCGGUCCGGUAAGUCCGCUGUGAAAGUCGGGGGCUCAACCCUCGAAUGCCGGUGGAUACUGUCGGGCUAGAGUGCGGAAGAGGCGAGUGGAAUUCCUGGUGUAGCGGUGAAAUGCGCAGAUAUCAGGAGGAACACCUAUUGCGAAGGCAGCUCGCUGGGACGUAACUGACGCUGAAACGCGAAAGCGUGGGGAGCAAACAGG
rnacentral:rRNA from 1 species